rnacentral:rRNA from 1 species
UACGUAGGGUGCAAGCGUUGUCCGGAAUUAUUGGGCGUAAAGAGCUCGUAGGCGGUCUGUCGCGUCUGCUGUGAAAACUCAGGGCUUAACCCUGAGCUUGCAGUGGGUACGGGCGGCCUCGAGGGGGGUAGGGGCGUGCGGAACUGUGGGUGGAGCGGUGAAAUGCGUUGAGAUCCACAGGAACUCCGGUGGCGAAGGCGGCACGCUGGACCCCUUCUGACGCUGAGGCGCGAAAGCCAGGGGAGCGAACGGG